GCCGUACUGCGCGCAGCCUGAUCAGCCAUGCCGCGUGAGUGAAGAAGGCCUUCGGGUUGUAAAGCUCUUUCGCUCGGAAAGAAAACUUCCCGACUAAUACUCGGUGAUGUUGACGGUACCUUGAUAAGAAGCACCGGCUAACUACGUGCCAGCAGCCGCGGUAAUGA
rnacentral:rRNA from 1 species